CGGGUAAGGAAGUUCAAAUUGUAUAUUGUUUUUAUUUAUAGCUAUGUACCUACAUUUAUGUUUUUUUUUGAAAAAGAAACAAAGUUAUGUUGUUUUUAGAGUUUAUUCGGUGUAAUUUAUUUAAAUUUGAAAAAUAUGAAGCCAAAGAAAAUGUUGAAAAAGGAGAAAUGGAAUCUCCCGAUGCCACCAACGGCAGCACAUCUAUUUUGGAGAAAAAAAUCUUCCGCCUAGUGAGGUAUUACUUCCGUCAUGCUGACUUACAACGUGACAAAUUCGUCCUCCAGUAGAUUUCUUAGAACGAGGACGUUCAAGGGAUUGGCCUCCCUCACCAACUAUGUCAUUGUCAUCGUCGAUGCUCUCCAUAAAUUGUGCGAAAGCCUUGUCCAGAUAAAAAAAUCGAUUCGUCGUCAUCCAGAGCGACGGAUUUCCAAGCAUACUUAGGAGAAACGCAACUAGAUAAUAUUUCGCACCGCGAAGAAAUCUGACUGAUGAGACAAAAAGAGGGCGCUCAAGGUAAAGGACUCUUCCCUGCCAACUUCCAAUGACCGAUUACAACAAUUAAUAAGGCAGAUCAUCAUAUUUACU